UGAUCCUUCCACCUCAGCCUUCCAAACUGCUGGAAUUACAGAUGGCCAUAACAGCUUGUGUGGGAAGGCUCCCUUCAUGGUGAGGAAGUUUAGAAGGACCCUCAAUGAUGUACAGGAAAACACAUGAAGAAAUUAGGAAGAAGUGGAAUUUGAGUUUUACUUUUAAAUAUAAAUAAAAAUUUUAUGAAUGGCAAGGGAGACGUGAGAACUACUAGGCUGAAGAAAACCUAACAAAUCAUUUGGAGAAGGAGAUAGUAGAGUAGAAGACUACUAUUUUGGAGGUAUGGCACUGGAAAAUGCGAUGGAGCAUGAACCUGGAAAAGUGGGUAGUGCUAAAUGUAAGGCCUUUCAGUAUAAACAUGAAGAAUGCAGACCUAAUUCUGUAUGUGCUAUGAGAAAGAAAGAAAGGCUUGAAUAAAACCAACAGAAAAACAUGCCUACAAUAAAGGUAUCUCAAAGAAUAAAUAUACAAGUUCUUCAGUAAUAGGCCAAUCCAGAAACUGGCACACACAAAAAAGUUUCACCAUAUUUGCCAAAUUUCUGCAUGCUUUUUCAUUUUAUGUUUAAUGUAUAUUCUGAAAAGCAGUAGUAGUGUGAAGCAGUUAGGAUACAUUUAGUUUCUGUUAAAUUCAUCUUAAGAAUUUCAAUAGCAUAGAUAUGAACAAUGCUAUAUUUGCCUGUGUUAACAGAGCCUUAAGAAAAUUAAGAAAUUGAAAGAAGAUAAAUAUUCAAUAUUUCAGCAUUCUCCGUGGCUACUUAUAUUCUGCCAAAUAUAGAAAGACCAAA